rnacentral:rRNA from 1 species
GUGAGGAAUUUUCCGCAAUGGGCGAAAGCCUGACGGAGCAAUGCCGCGUGAAGGAUGAAGGCCUAUGGGUUGUAAACUUCUUUUCUCAGAAAAGAAUUAUGACGGUAUCUGAGGAAUAAGCAUCGGCUAACUCUGUGCCAGCAGCCGCGGUAAGACAGAGGAUGCAAGCGUUAUCCGGAAGGAUUGGGCGUAAAGCGUCUGUAGGUUGUUUAAAAAGUAUUCUGUCAAAGAUUAGGGCUUAACCCUAGAUAGGCAGAAUAAACUUUUAAGCUAGAGUUUGGUAGAGGCAGAGGGAAUUCCCAGUGGAGCGGUGAAAUGCGUAGAUAUCGGGAGGAACACCAAAGGCGAAGGCACUCUGCUGGGCCAAUACUAACACUGAGAGACGAAAGCGAGGGGAGCAAAUGGGAUUAGAAACCCGGGUAGUCC